rnacentral:rRNA from 1 species
UACGUAGGGGGCGAGCGUUGUCCGGAGUUACUGGGCGUAAAGCGCUUGUAGGCGGUCCACCAAGUUUGGGGUGACAGUUGCCGACUUAAUCGGCAAAGUGCCUCAAAGACUGGCGGACUUGAGGGCCACAGAGGGACAUGGAACUCCAGGUGUAGUGGUGGAAUGCGUAGAUAUCUGGAAGAACACCAAAGGCGAAGGCAGUGUCCUGGGUGGUCGCUGACGCUGAGGGGCGAAAGCCAGGGGAGCGAACGGG